rnacentral:rRNA from 1 species
AUUGAACGCUGGCGGCAGGCUUAACACAUGCAAGUCGAGCGAGCGGCGGACGGGUGAGUACUGUCUGGGAAAAUGCCUGAUGGAGGGGGAUAACUACUGGAAAAGGUAGCUAAUACCGCAAACCACCAGAUGUGCCCAGAUGGGAUUAGCUAGUAGGUGGGGUAAUGGCUCACCUAGUCGACGAUCCCUAGCUGGUCGGAGAGGAUGACCAGCCACACUGGAACUGAGACACGGUCCAGACUCCUACGGGAGGCAGCAGUGGGGAAUAUUGCACAAUGGGCGCAAGCCUGAUGCAGCCAUGCCGCGUGUGUGAAGAAGGCCUUCGGGUUGUAAAGCACGUUCAGCGAGGAGGCGUUACUCGCAGAAGAAGCACCGGCUAACUCCGUGCCAGCAGCCGCGGUAAUAC